rnacentral:rRNA from 1 species
UACGGGAGGCAGCAGUGGGGAAUAUUGCACAAUGGGCGCAAGCCUGAUGCAGCCAUGCCGCGUGUAUGAAGAAGGCCUUCGGGUUGUAAAGUACUUUCAGUCGUGAGGAAGGUGUUAAGGUUAAUAACCUUAGCAAUUGACGUUAGCGACAGAAGAAGCACCGGCUAACUCCGUGCCAGCAGCCGCGGUAAUACGGAGGGUGCGAGCGUUAAUCGGAAUUACUGGGCGUAAAGGGCACGCAGGCGGUUAAUUAAGUUGGAUGUGAAAUCCCCGGGCUUAACCUGGGAAUGGCAUUCAAGACUGGUUAGCUAGAGUCUUGUAGAGGGGGUAGAAUUCCAUGUGUAGCGGUGAAAUGCGUAGAGAUGUGGAGGAAUACCGGGUGGCGAAGGCGGCCCCUGGGACAAAGGCUGACGCUCAUGUGCGAAAGCGUGGGGAGCAAACGAGGAUUAGAUACC